rnacentral:rRNA from 1 species
GGACGGGUGAGUAACGCGUGGGCAACCUGCCUUUCACAGAGGGAUAGCCAAAGGAAACUUUGAUUAAAACCUCAUAAAGCCGAAAUGUUGCAUAGCAAGACGGCCAAAGAUUUAUCGGUGAAAGAUGGGCCCGCGUCUGAUUAGUUAGUUGGUGGGGUAACGGCUCACCAAGGCGACGAUCAGUAGCCGACCUGAGAGGGUGAUCGGCCACAUUGGAACUGAGACACGGUCCAAACUCCUACGGGAGGCAGCAGUGGGGAAUAUUGCACAAUGGGCGCAAGCCUGAUGCAGCAACGCCGCGUGAACGAAGAAGGCCUUCGGGUUGUAAAGUUCUGUCCAUAGGGAAGAAACAAAUGACGGUACCUGUGGAGGAAGCCCCGGCUAAAUACGUGCCAGCAGCCGCGGUAAUACGUAUGGGGCAAGCGUUAUCCGGAAUUAUUGGGCGUAAAGAGUGCGUAGGUGGUGGCUUAAGCGCAGGGUUUAAGGCAAUAGCUUAACUAUUGUUCGCCUUGCGAACUGGGUCACUUGAGUACAGGAGAGGAAAGCGGAAUUCCUAGUGUAGCGGUGAAAUGCAUAGAUAUUAGGAGGAACACC